AUUAUAUAAAAAAGAAAGUAUUUAAUAUAAUUAAUGGGAUCCAAAUUGUGCGCUAUUCUGAUGAUGAUGAUGGUGAUAUUUCAAUCAAUGAUAUUAUCAAUAUCAGGGGACAAUGAUAAUUGUCCAGACAGCAAGUGCUCACAGGAAUGUAAUAUAUCUAUGACGGGUGCUGAUGGGUGUAUGUUCUGCAGAUGUUCGAUGGAUCCGCCUAUCAAUGUUGAAGAUGAUAGGAUUGUAGAUGAGGAUGUCAGAGAAAAAUUUCGGAUUCGGUGAAAAGCGUAACGAAAAAAAUGUUGUAUAGGAAUUUAUGUAUUUAAUAGAUAUAAUGAUAAAACUGAC